UACAGAGGUCUCAAGCGUUGUUCGGAUUCAUUGGGCGUAAAGGGUGCGCAGGUGGGUUUGCAAGUUCGAUGUGAAAGCCCCGGGCUUAACCCGGGAAUAGCAUUGGAUACUGCAGAUCUGGAGGAUCGGAGGGGGGACUGGAAUUCUUGGUGUAGCAGUGAAAUGCGUAGAUAUCAAGAGGAACACCAGUGGCGAAGGCGAGUCCCUGGACGAUACCUGACACUGAGGCACGAAAGCUAGGGGAGCAAACAGG
rnacentral:rRNA from 1 species